ACUAUCGGACACUCCAGGAGGCAGCCCGUGACUUUGGUCCAUCUGCGUUCCCUCUUGCCUCUAGGAGCAGGCUAGGCGGCGGGGGAGGGGGAUUCAUCUAAGGCAGAGCAUGGAGAGAACCCAAAUCUGAGGGGGAGGCUGGAGUUUCGGGUACAAGAGGAGGCGCCGGGGGAAUCUAGCACCGGGCCGCAGCGGGCACCGCCGCCCCUGUCAUCUCGCGCCGCGGGCCAUUGUACGGAUCUAUCAUAGACAGCAUUAAUUUGGGGGAAAUAAGCAUGGCACAUGAUGUGUUCCCCAGAAUAAAAAAUUUCACGGUGGAUAAAAUUAGAACCAUGAUCAAUGCCGACAAAAGGCCAAUGGAUUCAACAAAGAACGGAGAUUUCAUUUUUGGCAUUUCAGCACCACGAGAUGCUGCUAGUUCAGCAUAUUCUAGGGCAGAUGACGACUAUAAUGCACAACAAGAAGGGGAUGCUUGGGCAUGUGCAUGAAAGAUUUGUGAUUCUAUGGGCUUGACACAUCAGGUGACACUCCUGAUGCAGUUUCGAGUGAACGUUAGGGUGUGACAAAUUAAAGUCUCUUGUGGGCAUAGUUUGCCUGAGACUGUUUCUGUUGGGGCCCAAGUGUUUGUAUCAUAAAGAUCUAGAUUGGCUAUGUGGACCUAUAUAUUAAGUCAGUCAAACCAUGGAAUGAUUUCGAAGGUCAAGUACAAACUACUGUCUGCGGACAUGACCGAAAUAUAAGUUGCUUGGUAUGGA